UUGAAAGGGAAACGAUUGAAGUCAGUCGUGCUGGCGCGAAAUCAACCUUCUCGUCUUGAGAUCACAUGGCGUGGCGAGCCUCAAAACCGUCACGAAGCGUGAACUCUUGGUGAAAUGGAGCACUUUCGUGUCCGCUGGUUAACAUCAAUUUCGAACGUCAUAAAAAGGCUGGAGGGAUGUGGCUCCUUCGGGAGUGUUAUAACCUUUAGCGGAAUGUGGUGUUCGGGAUUGAGGAUUGCAACGAAUACCUUUAGGGCUGUUCCACCUGGCUUCUCUUUGGUAUCCUGGUGACGACAGCUUGCUGUCGUCGUUAGGAUUCGCCUUUGAACAGGCUAGAGUGUGAGCAAAUUCGUUAAGGAUGUUGACGUA
rnacentral:rRNA from 1 species